AACGAACGCUGGCGGUAUGCUUAACACAUGCAAGUCGAACGGGUGUAGCAAUACAUCAGUGGCAAACGGGUGAGUAAUGUAGAGGAAUCUCCCUAACAGUACGGAAUAACUCUGGGAAACCAGUGCUAAUACCGUAUAUUCCCUUCGGGGGAAAGAUUUAUCGCUGUUAGAUGAGCCUCUAUCGGAUUAGCUAGUUGGCGGGGUAAAGGCCCACCAAGGCGAUGAUCCGUAGCUGGUCUGAGAGGAUGAU
rnacentral:rRNA from 1 species